GGGGGCGAAUGGAUUCGACCGUGCAACGGAGGUAAGAGGUAGCAUGCUGAGGUUGUCAGGAGGCCUCAUUAAACACCUGGCGCAAACACAAGUGCCGAUUAUAACAUGGCAAUGGCUGCCUAAUUAAGUAGCCCGUCCUUUGGGCCCUGCCUGCGGGGCCUUUGGGACGACAACCAGCAGGCUGGCCCGGGCCUCUUUGCCUGAGGAGACCGGGCGAGAAACUAUCGGGCUGGCCGACCUGGAACCCUGUCUAGCGGGGUCCGCGGGGAGGCGAGACAGCAAAAGAUAGACUAAGCAUGUAGAAGCCUUUACCAAAGGGCAUCGGGACGCGGGUUCAAUUCCCGCCGCCUCCACCA
rfam:Planctomycetes bacterium RIFCSPLOWO2_02_FTLL_50_16 rifcsplowo2_02_scaffold_2402, whole genome shotgun sequence.